rnacentral:rRNA from 1 species
GACGAACGCUGGCGGCGUGCCUAAUACAUGCAAGUCGAGCGGACGAAUCGAAAGCUUGCUUUUGAUUCGUUAGCGGCGGACGGGUGAGUAACACGUGGGCAACCUGCCCUGUAGACGGGGAUAACACCGAGAAAUCGGUGCUAAUACCGGAUAACACGAAAUGUCGCAUGACGUUUCGUUGAAAGACGGCGCAAGCUGUCGCUACAGGAUGGGCCCGCGGCGCAUUAGCUAGUUGGUGAGGUAACGGCUCACCAAGGCGACGAUGCGUAGCCGACCUGAGAGGGUGAUCGGCCACACUGGGACUGAGACACGGCCCAGACUCCUACGGGAGGCAGCAGUAGGGAAUCUUCCGCAAUGGACGAAAGUCUGACGGAGCAACGCCGCGUGAGCGAAGAAGGCCUUCGGGUCGUAAAGCUCUGUUGUUAGGGAAGAACAAGUAACGUAGUAACUGGCGUUACCGUGACGGUACCUAACGAGAAAGCCACGGCUAACUACGUG